UACGUAGGGUGCGAGCGUUGUCCGGAAUUAUUGGGCGUAAAGAGCUCGUAGGCGGUGUGUCACGUCGGCCGUGAAAACCUGCAGCUUAACUGUGGGCGUGCGGUCGAUACGGGCAUCACUGGAGUUCGGCAGGGGAGACUGGAAUUCCUGGUGUAGCGGUGAAAUGCGCAGAUAUCAGGAGGAACACCGGUGGCGAAGGCGGGUCUCUGGGCCGGAACUGACGCUAAGGAGCGAAAGCGUGGGGAGCGAACAGG
rnacentral:rRNA from 1 species